rnacentral:rRNA from 1 species
CCCUUAGAUGUUCUGGGCUGCACGCGCGCUACACUGAAGCGUUCAACGAGUAUUCACCUUGCCCGGGAGGGUUGGGUAAUCUUUUGAAAACGCUUCGUGAUGGGGAUAGAUUAUUGCAAUUAUUAAUCUUGAACGAGGAAUUCCUAGUAAGCGCAAGUCAACAGCUUGCGUUGAUUACGUCCCUGCCCUUUGUACACACCGCCCGUCGCUACUACUGAUUGGAUGUUUAAGCGAGGUUCUCGAACUGCUAGCGACUUAGCUUCGGUGAGGUCGCAGUGUGGGAAGUGAACCUAGCUUUGGUGUCUAGAGGAAGUAAAAGUCGUAACA